GAUGAACGCUGGCGGCGUGCCUAAUACAUGCAAGUCGAGCGAACAGACGAGGAGCUUGCUCCUCUGACGUUAGCGGCGGACGGGUGAGUAACACGUGGAUAACCUACCUAUAAGACUGGGAUAACUUCGGGAAACCGAAGCUAAUACCGGAUAAUAUAUUGAACCGCAUGGUUCAAUAGUGAAAGACGGGUUUGCUGUCACUUAUAGAUGGAUCCGCGCCGCAUUAGCUAGUUGGUAAGGUAACGGCUUACCAAGGCAACGAUGCGUAGCCGACCUGAGAGGGUGAUCGGCCACACUGGAACUGAGACACGGUCCAGACUCCUACGGGAGGCAGCAGUAGGGAAUCUUCCGCAAUGGGCGAAAGCCUGACGGAGCAACGCCGCGUGAGUGAUGAAGGUCUUCGGAUCGUAAAACUCUGUUAUUAGGGAAGAACAAAUGUGUAAGUAACUAUGCACGUCUUGACGGUACCUAAUCAGAAAGCCACGGCUAACUACGUG
rnacentral:rRNA from 1 species